GAGCAUCCGCGAGAACUUCCUUCUAAGCUAAAUAUGUCAUCUAGCACCUGAAAAAAUUUAAGUCUGGUUCUUUCUGGAUAAAAGAAAGCGCACAGGAUUUAAGUAGCUGUAUAACAUUUCACAAGAUGAAUGUACCACAAAUUUUAAUCCUUCUAUUGUUGAUGGAUUUGGAUUAUUACCAACUUUUGGCCUUUGAGCCAGUCUAGGAUUCACGAUGUAACCAUGGAGCAGAUGCUUUGAGGUGAAUGACAUUUCCAGCAUUGAAGGACAGCAUAGACACGGAAAUACAUUUUAUGGCGUGCCAGUGGGUGUGGUGGGUCUCAGGGAUGCAAGGUGGGUGAGACUCCCUGUCUGUUCCUGAGGAGCUCUGGUGAGUGGGAAGGAGAAGGGAACACUCGAAGAGCAUGGCAGCCUUAAAGAGGCAGUGGGCUGAGGAGGCUCGCUCUGUGUUCAGAAAUUGGAACAGGGUUGUAGAAAGGAUGCUGUGUGGCUGUUAAAGUAAACUCCACCCAUUUUAGAAUUUUCCUUGGAAGCGGCCUCAAUGUCUAGAAAAGAGUGGGAAAAAUCUUUCCCCUUUUCAAAUU
rnacentral:lncRNA from 1 species